rnacentral:rRNA from 1 species
GAUGAACGCUGGCGGCGUGCCUAAUACAUGCAAGUCGAGCGAACGGACGAGAAGCUUUCUUCUCUGAUGUUAGCGGCGGACGGGUGAGUAACACGUGGAUAACCUACCUAUAAUACUGGGAUAACUUCGGGAAACCGGAGCUAAUACCGGAGAAUAUUUUGAACCGCAUGGUUCAAGAGUGAAAGACGGUCUUGCUGUCACUUAUAGAUGAAUCCGCGCUGCAUUAGCUAGUUGGUAAGGUAACGGCUUACCAAGGCAACGAUGCAUAGCCGACCUGAGAGGGUGAUCGGCCACACUGGAACUGAGACACGGUCCAGACUCCUACGGGAGGCAGCAGUAGGGAAUCUUCCGCAAUGGGCGAAAGCCUGACGGAGCAACGCCGCGUGAGUGAUGAAGGUCUUCGGAUCGUAAAACCCUGUUAUUAGGGAAGAACAUAUGUGUAAGUAACUGUGCACAUCCUGACGGUACCUAAUCAGAAAGCAACGGCUAACUACGUG